UACGGGGGGGGCAAGCGUUGUUCGGAAUUACUGGGCGUAAAGGGCUCGUAGGCGGCCAACUAAGUCAGACGUGAAAUCCCUCGGCUUAACCGGGGAACUGCGUCUGAUACUGGAUGGCUUGAAUCCGGGAGAGGGAUGCGGAAUUCCAGGUGUAGCGGUGAAAUGCGUAGAUAUCUGGAGGAACACCGGUGGCGAAGGCGGCAUCCUGGACCGGCAUUGACGCUGAUGAGCGAAAGCCAGGGGAGCAAACGGG
rnacentral:rRNA from 1 species